rnacentral:rRNA from 1 species
GCGCAAUGGGCGGAAGCCUGACGCAGCGACGCCGCGUGAGGGAUGACGGCCUUCGGGUUGUAAACCUCUUUCAGCACCGACGAAGCUAACGUGACGGUAGGUGCAGAAGAAGCGCCGGCUAACUACGUGCCAGCAGCCGCGGUAAUACGUAGGGCGCAAGCGUUGUCCGGAAUUAUUGGGCGUAAAGAGCUCGUA